CAGUUCGGACUGUAGGCUGCAACUCGCCUACACGAAGUUGGAAUUGCUAGUAAUCGUGGAUCAGCAUGCCACGGUGAAUACGUUCCCGGGUCUUGUACACACCGCCCGUCACACCAUGGGAGCUGGUAACACCCGAAGUCAGUAGUCUAACCGCAAGGAGGACGCUGCCGAAGGUGGGAUUAGCGACUGGAGUGAAGUCGUAACAAGGUAUC
rnacentral:rRNA from 1 species